AACUCUAAUGCGCAGGCGCUUCGGUGGGGCAGCAGCAAAUGUGCGUGAUCUGGCUAAAGAGGGAACCCAGAAAGGGUGUCAGCUCCAAAUAUGGAUUAGCCACAGCCUUUCCACGAGGGGGAAUGGUGACCAUAUGUUUGCAAAUACAGUGAACCCACAUGUUGAAGCUUUCUAGUAUAAUAAAAAUUUCAACUGUUCUGUUGAAUCAUCUGCCUGAUUGGAGGCUACAGAAAAGAUGUCAUCUUAGGAGUGCUUGCUCUGAGUGAGGCUCAUCUUCAAAUCUGAAUGACCACAAGGAGAUUUGAUUAUACAUGUGAACACCUCAGAAGGCACAGCCCACCCAGAAGGCAGACAGAAGAAGCUGCCAGGAAGACUGUGAAAUCUUCAUGCCCAAGGAUCCCUAAAAUUAGGAGCAACAACCACUUGGCUCAGACGGUUUAUGGAGGCAAAGGUUUGGAUGGGAUUAGAGAUUUCUAAAUGUGAGUUCGUGUCCUCUGCCAGACCACCUUACUUCCACCAUUCCUCAGCAAAUCAAGAAAAACAGGAGAAAAGACAUGCCUUUCCAUAAGUUAAAUCUAUUCUGUUUUAAUUCUAUAUUAUAUCUGCUGUACAACUUCUUUUGUUUGUAACACCAUAUUGUUGCUAGUAACUGGAAAUUAAUUUUCACAUGCCUCAGCUUAGAAAAAUAAAAAGCAGCCCUGCAUCAAUCCCAA
rnacentral:lncRNA from 1 species